rnacentral:rRNA from 1 species
AGCGAACGCUGGCGGCAGGCCUAACACAUGCAAGUCGAACGAACCUUUCGGGGUUAGUGGCGGACGGGGGGGUAACACGUGGGAACGUGCCUUUAGGUUCGGAAUAACUCAGGGAAACUUGUGCUAAUACCGAAGGUGCCCUUCGGGGGAAAGAUUUAUCGCCUUUAGAGCGGCCCGCGUCUGAUUAGCUAGUUGGUUGAGGUAAUGGCUCACCAAGGCGACGAUCAGUAGCUGGUCUGAGAGGAUGAUCAGCCACAUUGGGACUGAGACACGGCCCAAACUCCUACGGGAGGCAGCAGUGGGGAAUCUUGCGCAAUGGGCGAAAGCCUGACGCAGCCAUGCCGCGUGAAUGAUGAAGGUCUUAGGAUUGUAAAAUUCUUUCACCGGGGACGAUAAUGACGGUACCCGGAGAAGAAGCCCCGGCUAACUUCGUG